GACGAACGCUGGCGGCGUGCUUAACACAUGCAAGUCGAACGGAAAGGCCCCUUUGGGGGUACUCGAGUGGCGCACGGGUGAGUAACACGUGAGUAACCUGCCCUUGACUUCGGGAUAACUUCAGGAAACUGGGGCUAAUACCGGAUAGGAAUCCUUGCUGCAUGGUGGGGGUUGGAAAGCUUCGGCGGUUUUGGAUGGACUCGCGGCUUAUCAGCUUGUUGGUGGGGUAGUGGCUUACCAAGGCUUUGACGGGUAGCCGGCCUGAGAGGGCGACCGGCCACAGUGGGACUGAGAUACGGCCCAGACUCCUACGGGAGGCAGCAGUGGGGAAUAUUGCAAAAUGGGCGGAAGCCUGAUGCAGCAACGCCGCGUGCGGGAUGACGGCCUUCGGGUUGUAAAACGCUUUCAGCAGGGGCGAAGCUUGUGGUGACGGUACCUGCAGAAGAAGCACCGGCUAACUACGUG
rnacentral:rRNA from 1 species